rnacentral:tRNA from 1 species
GGGGCUGUGCCUGAAACAAAGGACCACUAUGAUAGAGUGAAUUAUGGAGGUUAAAAUCCUCCCAGCCCCU